UUUGUAAAUAAACGCACCAGAAAGUCUUGUAUAGAAACGCAACAUAAACCGUUAGUAAAUAAACCCACCAUAAACCGUUUGUAAAUAAACGCACCAUAAACCGUGUGUAAAUAAACCCACCAUAAACCGUUUGUAAAUAAACGCACCAGAAAGUCUUGUAAAGAAACGCACGAGAAAUGCAUCAACCUAGUGGCUUCAUACACCGUGUUUGAGAAAGCAAACCAAAUUUCUUGAAUGUUUAAUAGUUUCGGAACAAGUAGAAUGGAGCCGGAAUUCAGGCAAAUGAAGGCGGGAUUAAGAGUACUGAAGGCUGGGCUUAGGCCAAUGGAGGCGGGGCUCAGAGCAAUGGAGGCGGGGCUUAGGCCAAUGGAGGCGGGGCUUAGGGCCGGAUUAAAUGCUAUGAAAACCAGUGUACCUAAACCAGAUCCAAAGAAGAAUGUGUUCAUCAAUGAUGGGCAGACUACAUUUGUUGUUGACGAUGAUGCCCACGCGUCCCAUCCAAGGGCUGAAAACAACAGCCGGGUACAUGCGAGUAUCUUCUCCAACAUCAUCAACGGGGCGCCUUGUACCGUUAACAUCAACACGAGGAACGACGGUCAUGGAGGCUCGAGCUAAGGACAAUUGGUUGAAGGGUCAAGGUUAAUCUGCUCUAUCUGUUGGAUGCAUUCUACUCUAAAAUGUUGAUAUUUUUGUGUACGCUUGUACACCUACGCGUACACAGACACAGGCACAAACAUGCAGAUGUAUAUACAGUCUCAUUCACAGAUAAACAUUGACACAUAGUCGUACGCACAUUUCACCCCCUUCAGAAACUGUAAAAGAUAAAAACAUUUGAU